rnacentral:rRNA from 1 species
AGCGAACGCUGGCGGCAGGCCUAACACAUGCAAGUCGAACGAACCCUUCGGGGUUAGUGGCGGACGGGUGAGUAACACGUGGGAACGUGCCUUUAGGUUCGGAAUUACCCAGGGAAACUUGUGCUAAUACCGAAUGUGCCCUUCGGGGGAAAGAUUUAUCGCCUUUAGAGCGGCCCGCGUCUGAUUAGCUAGUUGGUUAGGUAAUGGCUCACCAAGGCUACGAGCAGUAGCUGGUCUGAGAGGAUGACCAGCCACAUUGGGACUGAGACACGGCCCAAACUCCUACGGGAGGCAGCAGUGGGGAAUCUUGCGCAAUGGGCGAAAGCCUGACGCAGCCCUGCCGCGUGGAUGAUGAAGGUCUUAGGAUUGUAAAAUCCUUUCACCGGUGAAGAUAAUGACUGUAGCCGGAGAAGAAGCCCCGGCUAACUUCGUGCCAGCCGCCGCCGUAAUAC